rnacentral:rRNA from 1 species
AACGAACGCUGGCGGCAGGCCUAACACAUGCAAGUCGAACGCCGUAGCAAUACGGAGUGGCAGACGGGUGAGUAACACGUGGGAACGUACCCUUCGGUUCGGGAUAACUCAGGGAAACUUGAGCUAAAUACCGGAUACGUCCGAGAGGAGAAAGAUUUAUUGCCGAGGGAUCGGCCCGCGUCUGAUUAGCUUGUUGGUGAGGUAACGGCUCACCAAGGCGACGAUCAGUAGCUGGUCNGAGA